GUCUACCUGAAGGGCACUGUCAUCAUGGUCUAACGUGGCUCCUGCCUGGAAUCCCCUUUCUCCUCCUCUUCCUCCAGCUCCUCCUCCGCCGCUCUCUUCCUCCUCCGAGGACCCUCGCACCUUCUCCACUGCGGACCCCGGAACACUUUAAGGAAUAACCCCUUGACAGCUGCACCAGUGACGCUCGCGGGAACCUCAUGGGCAGUUUCUCCCGCCUGCGAUGAUGGAGAACCUAAUAAGGGGAAGGAAUCCCCCACAAUACCAGAGAAGUCCUUGUAAAGACGUUCGUGCAGCACUUCGGAAGAGGCCUGACGAGGAGUGAGCCCGCUACAUGAAAAAAAUGCAAGUCAAAGUGGUCACAACCUAGAAGUCUGCAGAGACAGGAAUAACUAGCAAGUAGAUACUAUGUUAUUUUACUAUGCUUAAAUAUAUAGAAUUCAGUAGUGUUCUGGGAAUUCUACUAAUGAACAAAUACAGUCUGGAAAUUUUAAAUUUACACUUAGCAGUAUUUGUGUUACCUUAUAUCACAAAAAUAGUCAGGAAAAAAUGGUAACUAUGAAUUUUAGGAAGCUCAUACUCUGUUAGUACUAAUGACAUGAUUUCAGUUAGAAAUAUUAGUUUAAAUAUUGUACCUUUUCUCAGGUCUUAUUCUUAGAGCCCCGAUUCAAUAACAUAUUCCCUCAUUUAAAAAAAAAAGAUAAACGAACCUCCCUAAAUAUGCGUUAUGACAUAUGGAAUCACUAGGUAAACGUAUUAAUUUCUUUCAUAAACCAUCAAUAGAAAUUAUUUUAUAAUCAUGCUUUUUUCAAAAUAUAGGGAAAUUACAUUCACUUUUGAAGGUUACAUCUCAAAAUUUCAAGGUGAUAGCAAGUGAA